AGGGGUAUAGCUUAGAUGUAGAGUACGUACUUAGCAUGCACGAGGUUCUGGGUUCGACCUCCAGUACCUCCG
rnacentral:tRNA from 1 species